GUCUUUAUACUUGCAUUUUCUCUGAUUAGCAAGGCUAGCUAUGAAAAUAUAUCAAAAAAGAUCUUUGGGAAGAUAAGCAAUUCUUUGUAAACCACCCUGGUGUUGUGCCCAUUACAACAGCUCAGGUAUAUGUGGUGUUCCUAUGUUUGUAAAAUUAUUUUUUGGCCAUUGCGCACUUGUUUGCAUCUGUCAUUUCUAAAGUGUGUUAGUCCCUCCAAGAGAAACCUGACUUCCUAUCUUUUAAGGGGAGAGGAGCUGAAAAAGCUGAUUGGAGCUGCUGCUUACAAUGAAUGCAGUUCAAAAACCCAAUAUGUGGAUAUAUUUUAUUAUAAUCCUGUGUAUCUUCAUGUAAACUUCUGUAAUUACCUCACCAUUUAAUGGUUAUUAUAAAAAUUUUCCUUUUAUGCAACA